rnacentral:rRNA from 1 species
AGCGAACGCUGGCGGCAGGCUUAACACAUGCAAGUCGAGCGGGCAUCCUUGUGGUGUCAGCGGCAGACGGGUGAGUAACGCGUGGGAACGUGCCCUUCGGUUCGGAAUAACUCAGGGAAACUUGAGCUAAUACCGGAUACGCCCUUUUGGGGAAAGGUUUACUGCCGAAGGAUCGGCCCGCGUCUGAUUAGCUAGUUGGUGAGGUUAUGGCUCACCAAGGCGACGAUCAGUAGCUGGUCUGAGAGGAUGAUCAGCCACACUGGGACUGAGACACGGCCCAGACUCCUACGGGAGGCAGCAGUGGGGAAUAUUGGACAAUGGGGACAACCCUGAUCCAGCCAUGCCGCGUGAGUGAUGACGGCCUUAGGGUUGUAAAGCUCUUUUCUCCGGGACGAUAAUGACGGUACCGGAGGAAUAAGCCCCGGCUAACUUCGUG